rnacentral:rRNA from 1 species
GACGAACGCUGGCGGCGUGCUUAACACAUGCAAGUCGAACGGUGAAGGGGUCUGCUUUUGUGGGCCCUGGAUGAGUGGCGAACGGGUGAGUAACACGUGAGUAACCUGCCCCCUUCUUCUGGAUAACCGCAUGAAAGUGUGGCUAAUACGGGAUAUUCUGGGUCUGUCGCAUGAUGGGUCUGGGAAAGAUUGCGCCUUUGGGUGUUUUUGGUGGGGGAUGGGCUCGCGGCCUAUCAGCUUGUUGGUGGGGUGAUGGCCUACCAAGGCGGUGACGGGGAGCCGGCCGGAGAGGGGGGACGGUCACACUGGGACUGGGAAACGGCCCAGACUCCUACGGGAGGCAGCAGUGGGGAAUAUUGCACAAUGGGCGCAAGCCUGAUGCAGCGACGCCGCGUGAGGGAGGGAGGCCUUCGGGUUGUAAACCUCUUUCGCCAGUGAAGCAGGCCUGCUCCUUGUGGGUGGGUUGACGGUAGCUGGAUAAGAAGCGCCGGCUAACUACGUG